AGUGAACGCUGGCGGUAGGCCUAACACAUGCAAGUCGAACGGCAGCACAGUAAGAGCUUGCUCUUACGGGUGGCGAGUGGCGGACGGGUGAGGAAUACAUCGGAAUCUACUUUUUCGUGGGGGCUAACGUAGGGAAACUUACGCUAAUACCGCAUACGACCUACGGGUGAAAGCAGGGGAUCUUCGGACCUUGCGCGAUUGAAUGAGCCGAUGUCGGCUUAGCUAGUUGGCGGGGUAAAGGCCCACCAAGGCGACGCUCCGUAGCUGGUCUGAGAGGAUGAACAGCCACACUGGAACUGAGAAACGGCCCAGACUCCUACGGGGGGCAGCAGUGGAGAAUAUUGGACAAUGGGCGCAAGCCUGAUCCAGCCAUACCGCGUGGGUGAAGAAGGCCUUCGGGUUGUAAAGCCCUUUUGUUGGGAAAGAAAAGCAGCAGGUUAAUACCCCGCUGUUCUGACGGUACCCAAAGAAUAAGCACCGGCUAACUUCGUG
rnacentral:rRNA from 1 species